rnacentral:rRNA from 1 species
AACGCGAAGAACCUUACCUACCCUUGACAUGUCUGGAAGCAGGAAGAAAAGCCUGCGUGCCGCGAGGAACCAGAACACAGGUGCUGCAUGGCUGUCGUCAGCUCGUGUCGUGAGAUGUUGGGUUAAGUCCCGUAACGAGCGCAACCCCUAUAUUUAAUUGCUAACAAGAAAGAUGAGUACAUUAAAUAGACUGUCGGUGAUAAACCGGAGGAAGGUGGGGAUGACGUCAAGUCCUCAUGGCCCUUAUGGGUAGGGCUACACACGUGCUACAAUGGGCAGUACAGAGGGAAGCGAAAUCGCGAGGUGGAGCAAAACUCAAAAAGCUGUUCGUAGUCCGGAUUGGAGUCUGCAACUCGACUCCAUGAAGUUGGAAUCGCUAGUAAUCGCAGAUCAGAAUGCUGCGGUGAAUACGUUCCCGGGCCUUGUACACACCGACUGUAC